rnacentral:rRNA from 1 species
GGGACACGUGGUAUCCUGUCUGAAUAUGGGGGGACCAUCCUCCAAGGCUAAAUACUCCUGACUGACCGAUAGUGAACCAGUACCGUGAGGGAAAGGCGAAAAGAACCCCGGCGAGGGGAGUGAAAAAGAACCUGAAACCGUGUACGUACAAGCAGUGGGAGCACGCUUAGGCGUGUGACUGCGUACCUUUUGUAUAAUGGGUCAGCGACUUAUAUUCUGUAGCAAGGUUAACCGAAUAGGGGAGCCGAAGGGAAACCGAGUCUUAACUGGGCGUUAAGUUGCAGGGUAUAGACCCGAAACCCGGUGAUCUAGCCAUGGGCAGGUUGAAGGUUGGGUAACACUAACUGGAGGACCGAACCGACUAAUGUUGAAAAAUUAGCGGAUGACUUGUGGCUGGGGGUGAAAGGCCAAUCAAACCGGGAGAUAGCUGGUUCUCCCCGAAAGCUAUUUAGGUAGCGCCUCGUGAAUUCAUCUCCGGGGGUAGAGCACUGUUUCGGCAAGGGGGUCAUCCCGACUUACCAACCCGAUGCAAACUGCGAAUACCGGAGAAUGUUAUCACGGGAGACACACGGCGGGUGCUAACGUCCGUCGUGAAGAGGGAAACAACCCAGACCGCCAGCUAAGGUCCCAAAGUCAUGGUUAAGUGGGAAACGAUGUGGGAAGGCCCAGACAGCCAGGAUGUUGGCUUAGAAGCAGCCAUCAUUUAAAGAAAGCGUAAUAGCUCACUGGUCGAGUCGGCCUGCGCGGAAGAUGUAACGGGGCUAAACCAUGCACCGAAGCUGCGGCAGCGACACUAUGUGUUGUUGGGUAGGGGAGCGUUCUGUAAGCCUGUGAAGGUGUACUGUGAGGUAUGCUGGAGGUAUCAGAAGUGCGAAUGCUGACAUAAGUAACGAUAAAGCGGGUGAAAAGCCCGCUCGCCGGAAGACCAAGGGUUCCUGUCCAACGUUAAUCGGGGCAGGGUGAGUCGACCCCUAAGGCGAGGCCGAAAGGCGUAGUCGAUGGGAAACAGGUUAAUAUUCCUGUACUUGGUGUUACUGCGAAGGGGGGACGGAGAAGGCUAUGUUGGCCGGGCGACGGUUGUCCCGGUUUAAGCGUGUAGGCUGGUUUUCCAGGCAAAUCCGGAAAAUCAAGGCUGAGGCGUGAUGACGAGGCACUACGGUGCUGAAGCAACAAAUGCCCUGCUUCCAGGAAAAGCCUCUAAGCAUCAGGUAACAUCAAAUCGUACCCCAAACCGACACAGGUG